UACAGAGGUCUCAAGCGUUGUUCGGAUUCAUUGGGCGUAAAGGGUGCGUAGGCGGUUUGGUAAGUUGGAUGUGAAAUCUCCAGGCUCAACUUGGAGGGGUCAUUCGAUACUGCCAUGACUAGAGUUCGGUAGGGGAGUGUGGAAUUCCUGGUGGAGCGGUGAAAUGCGCAGAUAUCAGGAGGAACACCGGUGGCGAAGGCGGGAUCCUGGGCCAGUACUGACGCUGAGGAGCGAAAGCGUGGGGAGCAAACAGG
rnacentral:rRNA from 1 species